rnacentral:rRNA from 1 species
AUGGAGCCACCGGAUCCACCAAAGAAAACGAAUCUCCCAUGUGAGGAGAUUGACACCCAUGGAAACUGCAAAAAAGCAAGGUCUGUCCGACGUCGGUGGGAAGAAGGAGAUGAAAACGGGGCUCAGCUAGACCUAGAUACUACUGCAGGAGGGGGAACGCAGCUCACUAGAUCCAAUGCCUCGACGAGGCCAUAUGAUCACUUCGAUCCACGGGAGGAUAGAUGGAUUGAUGUAGUUGGAGAACCUGGAGGCAUCCUGCAAAAUACAGAAGCGCAACUGGACGCGCUACGAGCAGCUCAGGGGCUAAUUGCAGCUAGCCAACAAUUUCGCACUGCGUCAUUAUAG